CCUACGGGUGGCUGCAGUGAGGAAUAUUGGUCAAUGGGCGGGAGACUGAACCAGCCAAGCCGCGUGAGGGAGGAAGGUACAGAGUAUCGUAAACCUCUUUUGUCAGGGAACAAAGACUGGGACGCGUCCCCGGAUGAGUGUACCUGAAGAAAAAGCAUCGGCUAACUCCGUGCCAGCAGCCGCGGUAAUACGGAGGAUGCGAGCGUUAUCCGGAUUUAUUGGGUUUAAAGGGUGCGCAGGCGGUCGGUCAAGUCAGCGGUAAAAGACCGGGGCUCAACCCCGUCGCGCCGUUGAAACUGGCAGUCUCGAGUUGGAGAGAAGUAUGCGGAAUGCGCGGUGUAGCGGUGAAAUGCAUAGAUAUCGCGCAGAACUCCGAUUGCGAAGGCAGCAUGCCGGCUCCAAACUGACGCUGAGGCACGAAAGCGUGGGUAUCGAACAGGAUUAGAUACCCCUGUAGUC
rnacentral:rRNA from 1 species